rnacentral:rRNA from 1 species
CUGGUGGGAUACUACCCUAGCUGUGUUGGCUUUCUAACCCGCACCACUUAUCGUGGUGGGAGACAGUGUCAGGCGGGCAGUUUGACUGGGGCGGUCGCCUCCUAAAAGGUAACGGAGGCGCUCAAAGGUUCCCUCAGAAUGGUUGGAAAUCAUUCAUAGAGUGUAAAGGCAUAAGGGAGCUUGACUGCGAGACCUACAAGUCGAGCAGGGUCGAAAGACGGACUUAGUGAUCCGGUGGUUCCGCAUGGAAGGGCCAUCGCUCAACGGAUAAAAGCUACCCCGGGGAUAACAGGCUUAUCUCCCCCAAGAGUUCA